UCCUAAAUAUGUUCCUUAUGAUGUAAAUAAACAAUAUGGUCUUCUCUUUGAUAUAAUUACAAAAAGGUACAAAGAGAACAAUGAAGCACGCAGUCUAGUACUAAAAAAGCAACUUCGUCGAUAUGCUCCUGUUUCUCUCACUGCAGAGGAAAACAACAGCAAACCAGCAUGCAGACCAGCAUCCAAGCUAAACCAGAUAAGCAGCAGCAUUUUAUUUAUUUUGUUUAUUUGUAACUUGAUUUAGUUGCAAUGUAAUUUAUACUUAAAGUUAGUAGGAGUAGUUGUUGAUUUAUGUUUGAUGUUAUAGCUGGUAUGUCAGCUACAUUUUGUUUGUAAUUUUAUCUAGGCUUUAGUCAUGUAUUAGUGGGAGCAGUUAUACAUUAGUUAACUGCCAUAUUUCAUUGUAACA